GGAAACAGGUUUAUUUGUUAUUUUCUUUUCUCAUUUAUUAUUUUUUCUUUUUAUUUCUCCUUUUUUCAUCUCUUAGUUUAGAUCUCAUAAUUUUAUUUUAUUUUAUUUCGUAAAAUUUUAGUUAGCCCUUCGUUUGCUUGAAAUUUCGUUCUACGCAUGGAACUUAUUUUAUUUGACGUUGUAAAUGGUUCCAAUCACAAAAUAGCCAAUAGUUAAGGCUACGAGUUCUGGGCGUGAGGGAAGAACCAAUCACAGACUUGCGCUCUCGUACUUGGAUUGUUA
rnacentral:lncRNA from 1 species